rnacentral:rRNA from 1 species
GCGUAAGGGCUCGCAGGCGGUUUCUUAAGUCUGAUGUGAAAGCCCCCGGCUCAACCGGGGAGGGUCAUUGGAAACUGGGGAACUUGAGUGCAGAAGAGGAGAGUGGAAUUCCACGUGUAGCGGUGAAAUGCGUAGAGAUGUGGAGGAACACCAGUGGCGAAGGCGACUCUCUGGUCUGUAACUGACGCUGAGGAGCGAAAGCGUGGGGAGCGAACAGGAUUAGAUACCCUGGUAGUCCACGCCGUAAACGAUGAGUGCUAAGUGUUAGGGGGUUUCCGCCCCUUAGUGCUGCAGCUAACGCAUUAAGCACUCCGCCUGGGGAGUACGGUCGCAAGACUGAAACUCAAAGGAAUUGACGGGGGCCCGCACAAGCGGUGGAGCAUGUGUUUUAAUUCGAAGCAACGCGAAGAACCUUACCAGGUCUUGACAUCCUCUGACAAUCCUAGAGAUAGGACGUCCCCUUCGGGGGCAGAGUGACAGGUGGUGCAUGGUUGUCGUCAGCUCGUGUCGUGAGAUGUUGGGUUAAGUCCCGCAACGAGCGCAACCCUUGAUCUUAGUUGCCAGCAUUCAGUUGGGCACUCUAAGGUGACUGCCGGUGACAAACCGGAGGAAGGUGGGGAUGACGUCAAAUCAUCAUGCCCCUUAUGACCUGGGCUACACACGUGCUACAAUGGACAGAACAAAGGGCAGCGAAACCGCGAGGUUAAGCCAAUCCCACAAAUCUGUUCUCAGUUCGGAUCGCAGUCUGCAACUCGACUGCGUGAAGCUGGAAUCGCUAGUAAUCGCGGAUCAGCAUGCCGCGGUGAAUACGUUCCCGGGCCUUGUACACACCGCCCGUCACACCACGAGAGUUUGUAACACCCGAAGUCGGUGAGGUAACCUUUUUAGGAGCCAGCCGCCGAAGGUGGGACAGAUGAUUGGGGGUGAAGUCGUAACAGGGGUAACCCGUUAA